UAUUCUCGCUUCAAAUAAAAUCAAACAUUGCCUAAUGUUACUAAACGAUUAUAUUUUGGGCUUUUUCUGCUCCCAAUUUGAAUCAAGAACUUAGCAGCCACCGUCAGAGAAAAGCAUCGUGGAUCUUCCAUUCCACACGCGUGAUGGAGACGUAAUUACAAACAAACAGUGCUAUUAAUUAAUAAAUCCGCCGUCCUCUCACUUGGCUCCACCGCCUUUCCAACCCCUGAGAUACUCAACAGGCCAUAUCUGACGAUUGUUUUAUGCCUCCGAAGAUCAAAAAGACAAAUGACAAGUGGGCGACAAUGCGUCAGCAGCAGCAGACCGAAAUGUAGCAACAAAGAUGGAAUUGCGUAGUGGCAACUUGAACAGGGAGUGUACUAAGCUUAUCGAGGGGCGGGCACCGGAGAGGGUGUCGGUGAGCAAGACUUUGGAAGAGAGAAGCUCGAGGGAGGGUCCGGAAAUCAAUGAAUGAAAGCUCCAACACGCCCAUGCGAGGAAAGAGCGACGAGUCUUGGGGAGAGGAAAACCAGGACCUGUAAAUAGACUUCCUAAUAUGGACACACAAACAAGGACGAGACAUGAAGGAAACGAGGCUGGCUAAUGGAAAAAAUAAUCAUAUUAAUAUAUAUCAAUAUGCAAUAUUUUUAAACAAUUGGUUUAACUAAGCGAUGACAAUAAAAUUAUGUUAAUAAUUUCAUGUUUAUACGAAACGUGUGAAUAUUAACAGUAGUAUUUCUUUGGCGUUCGUCUCUAUUCCCUGUUGAUCCCAGUUUAAUCCAUUUAUAUCCCCAGUCGAAUCAAUUUUAGCUUACUUAGUGGCAAGGCGACAUUCAGGGAGCAGAGGGCAAGCAAAGGACACAGAACGGAGGCAGAGCUUUCGGAAUUUGCCAGGAAAUCAGCUUCAACUUGCCGCAAGGACAGCCACUGAAACCGAAACUAAAAUUUGUCAGAUAGCCCAAACAAUUAAAACAGGGCCCAGAGCGGUUGACCUGAUUUCAGCAUUUCCCGCCUUCCUCCGCUAAACCCGAAUGUUUCUAUAUUUUUAUUAUUUUUCCUUUUGCCUUUUUGGUGGCAGACUUCGUGACGGCUGAAAAUGCCACACACGCAAGGUUUUAUGGGUCUGCUUCUUCGCCGUUUCGGUUUCUUUUUUUUUUCAUUUUUGGCAGCAAAGGAAAACAUGUACACUGCACUUGCCACAAGAAGCACAACAAUCGAGCUCACCAACGGGUCACUGAACCGCAAGGAAAAAAAUGUGCAACUGCAGCAACGCCGCAGUAGCUGCGGCUGCAUUUUAUUUCAUAAUCAUUGCACAUGAGUACAACGGCAAGAAAAUCACGUGAAACGGGCACUGGUCUCUGUUACAUACAUAUAUGUAUAUAGGCAUUUGGCUAGACCUCUGGAUCUGAAUCGGAAUCUGAAACUAGCUCGACUUGGCCUAGACACACGGAAAAGUCAUGGCGCACAAUUGGCCGGUAAAAGAAAAACGACGGCAGCAAGAGUUGGUUCCAAAAUCGGUCGAGAUGAGUUGGGUAAAAAUGAAAUUGGGCAUUGGGUAACCACUGCAUUUAGAUAUGGAAUUAGGCAUAAAUAUAUACAGAACAAAUUUAUGGAAAAGAAAGUAAAACGAAUACAGAUAAAAUCGUAAAAAAACAAGAGUGAAUGCUACAGAUACUUAUUUAGCUAAUGGAAGUGCAAACGAAAAAUUUAAACAUUUUCUUGAAUAUCGGUAAAAAUUGGGAAAAAAAACAAAUUGGGAAAAAUGUAGGACAUUUACUUUACUAAUUUAUUAUUUAAAAAUCUGUUUUACCCAUCCUCCAUGUCCUAUAAUUAGUGUUAAA